CUUUGGAUUCGAGAUGAUGGUAGAUAGGAAGCUCGUUUCAACAAGCGACAUCUCGGUGGAAACAAACUCCUUUUUCUCAGGAUCUUAUUAAAUAGAAAUAAAGAACGAAAUAACUAGAAAGGUUGCAUGGGGAACGUGGAAUCCCAUGUGAAUCAGCAAGGACCACCUUGCAAGGCUAAAUGCUCCUGGGUGACCGAUAGUUAAGUAGUACCGUGAGGGAAGGGUGAAAAGAACCUCCAUCGAGG
rnacentral:ncRNA from 1 species